GUUUUCCCAGAGUGCAGCUGAAAUACUUCCUGUUUUUGUUGCUGCUGCUGCUGCGACAGGGCCAUAGACAGAGAUUGUGUGAGUCUUGACGCCAAAGUCACCGCCCUGAACAGGGAAUGUAGGCCAACACUGCUCCUCAGGCACAAUAUUAGAGAGCAACA